GUCUUUUUGAUUUAUAUAUAAAGUCUGACCUGCCCACUGAAAAUUUUAAAUGGCUGCAGUAAUUUGACUGUACAAAGGUAGCAUAAUCAUUAGUUUUUUAAUUAAAAGCUCGUAUGAAAGGUUGGACGAAGUAAAAUCUGUCUCUUUUUAAUAUAAUUAGAAUUUAAUUUUUAAGUAAAAAAGCUUAAAUUUUUAUAAAAGACGAGAAGACCCUAUAGAGUUUAAUAAUUUUAAUAAAAUAUUUAAUUAAGAUUUAUUAAUUUUAUUUAAUUAAAAUUAUUUUAUUGGGGUAAUAAAAAGAUUAAAAAAAUUCUUUUUUUUUAAUACAUUAAUUUAUGAAUAUAUGAUCCAUUUGUAGUGAUUAAAAGAUUAAAUUACCUUAGGGAUAACAGCGUAAUUUUUUUAAAGAGUUCUUAUCGAUAAAAAAGUUUGCGACCUCGAUGUUGGAUUAAAGAUUAAUUUAGGUGUAGAAGUUUAAAUUUUUGGUCUGUUCGACCAUUAAAUCUUUACAUGAUCUGAGUUCAAACCGGUGUAAGCCAGGUUGGUUUCUAUCUUUAUUAAUUUUUUAUAUUUUAGUACGAAAGGACCAAAUAUAAAAUAUAUAAAUAUUUUUAUUUUGAAUAUUAUU
rnacentral:rRNA from 1 species